CCUGUAGUAAGUACAAGUGUAUGUAACACACAAAUCAAUAUUUGUAUUAUUAUUAUUUUUUUGCAAAUUUAGGGUUUCAAAGUUAGGGUUUGAACUUACAUUAAUUCGAAGAAGAGAGAUGCAGUUUCCAGGAUGCGAACCAUUGGCGAUAUGAGCAACCUCAUGAGAGAGUGGUGAUGUUGAUGACGGAGAAGAUCAAAUACUUUAGCGUGGGAGAACGGAAGCCAAAUGGUUGAUACAGCAGCAAGAACAACUCCAGUAGGCUGACCAGGCUCACACACUUUCCUUGUCGUGAUUCUCACAGUGUCUUUGGUUGUUUCAGACAGAGCGGUCCAAGACUGUCCGUACGAAGUGCUUAUAUUCACACAGAAUGUUUUCAUCAUCCUCUGUGAUAGCCUCAUCAUGUUCCUCCUCCCUUCGGCAGAUGGAAUUACUGUUAAUAAAAA